rnacentral:rRNA from 1 species
AGAGAUGGAUUGGUGGCCUUCGGGAACUCUGACACAGGUGCUGCAUGGCUGUCGUCAGCUCGUGUCGUGAGAUGUUGGGUUAAGUCCCGUAACGAGCGCAACCCUUGCCUUAGUUACCAGCACGUUAUGGUGGGCACUCUAAGGAGGACUGCCGGUGACAAACCGGAGGAAGGUGGGGGUGACGUCAAGUCAUCAUGGCCCUUACGGCCUGGGCUACACACGUGCUACAAUGGUCGGUACAAAGGGUUGCCAAGCCGCGAGGUGGAGCUAAUCCCAUAAAACCGAUCGUAGUCCGGAUCGCAGUCUGCAACUCGACUGCGUGAAGUCGGAAUCGCUAGUAAUCGUGAAUCAGAAUGUCACGGUGAAUACGUUCCCGGGCCUU